rfam:Triticum aestivum genome assembly, contig: Triticum_aestivum_CS42_TGACv1_scaffold_503710_6BL
UAAAUACUUCCUCCUUCCGGAAAUACUCGUCGGAGAAAUAAAUGUAUCUAGACAUAUUUUAGUUUUAGAUACAUUCAUUUUUAUCCAUUUCUCCAAAAAGUAUUUCCCAACGGAGGGAGUAGUAA